UACGAAGGGGGCUAGCGUUGUUCGGAUUUACUGGGCGUAAAGCGCACGUAGGCGGAUCGAUCAGUCAGGGGUGAAAUCCCAGAGCUCAACUCCGGAACUGCCUUUGAUACUGUCGAUCUGGAGUAUGGAAGAGGUGAGUGGAAUUCCGAGUGUAGAGGUGAAAUUCGUAGAUAUUCGGAGGAACACCAGUGGCGAAGGCGGCUCACUGGUCCAUUACUGACGCUGAGGUGCGAAAGCGUGGGGAGCAAACAGG
rnacentral:rRNA from 1 species